rnacentral:rRNA from 1 species
GACAGAGGAUGCAAGCGUUAUCCGGAAUGAUUGGGCGUAAAGCGUCUGUAGGUGGCUUUUUAAGUCUGCCGUCAAAUCCCAGGGCUUAACCCUGGACAGGCGGUGGAAACUACCAAGCUGGAGUACGGUAGGGGCAGGGGGAAUUUCCGGUGGAGCGGUGAAAUGCGUAGAGAUCGGAAAGAACACCAACGGCGAAAGCACGCUGCUGGGCCGACACUGACACUGAGAGACGAAAGCGAGGGGAGCGAAUGGG